rnacentral:lncRNA from 1 species
UUGCCCCAAAGUAGAAAGCCACUGAAAGUAGCCAUGCAUCACUGUGAACAGCAACCAAAGAAAGCCAGUCCUUUUGUUGCAUCCCAUCCCUAGCGAAGUUUAUGCCCAAUGCAGGCUCGGGAAGUUCGGGAGGAACUUCUUCAGCAGGUAAAUUAACUUCCCAUUUUUCAGUGGGGAACCCAUACAGACAAAGAUUCUCCUUUUCUGAUGUACAGGAGAUAAAUAAAUAAAUAAAUAAAGCAUCAACAUCUUUUAACAAUUUAGUUCAUUUCCAUUAAUGUUAUUUCUUCUGCUUAUCAUCUACAACAGAUUAAAAGAAUAUGGCAUAGGAAAGAGAAAAACAAAAAUCGACAAUCUUGUUUGAUCAAAUAAAACACAGGAUUGCAAUUUCAAAUUUGGAGCCACAUGCACAAAAUAAUCACCCAAUACAAUCAUAUAAUGCAAUGAAUAGAAACUCAACAUCCAAUUUCAAUUGUACAAUUACUGAGAAAAUGAAGCUUCUAAAUAAGCACGUAAAAACAUCAAACAAUAUACAUAGCUGCUUCAGCUAUUAAAAGCAAUAAUAUAACAGAUUCAAGGGUAGUGGUCAUACUGAUUCAAAAUAGAAAACUACAAAAUCCAUAUCUACCAAUUUUUCAUUGUCCAAAAGUCAUACAAGUAAACUAAAAGCUUCAUUCACCAAUAUAAAAUUGAUUAAUAGUCUGGCAUAUAUCUAAAUUAGAUGAAUAAAACCGAGUAACCAAUACCAACUGAAUCAAUACCAUUGGAUUUCAUAGAACAGAGGACUUGACAGAAGCCUAUAUAUACUAAUUACUAAGCCAAAGUAUGUUGAUGUGACAAGAUAUAUUAACAAUGGUGCCAAAAUUAUAGAUCAUAUCUUUGAUUAAACAAAGGAAGCAAGAACAUAAAACAGAAGAUAAGGAAUGUAAAGCUUCACCUUAAAAAUAAUUUAAAUAUAGACACAUGAAGAAAACACCCUAAAGAUUACAAGCAACAUUUAAAUAUACAAUACGUGUGAGCUCUACAUUAAGAAGUAAUUUUACCAUAUAUUUAAAGGGAAGUUCAACACAGGUGGAAACAUGUGCAGCAUUUGAGAUCACAUGUAGAUUAUUUAUCAACUUACUAAUUCAUCAAAAUAAAAUCAUAAUGGAAAGUUCAGUUUUUUCUUAAAAAAUGAUGAGAAAAGAAAAGAAGGUUAAAAAUGUUGUGCUUUCAACAGGAAUGACCUUUUAGUUGGGAACAGAAGCAAGGAUGAUAAAUAUAAAACCAAAGAAAGGGAUGAGAUUUAUAUGAUCUACAAGUAUUUGUGCACUUAUUUAUUACAAAUAUUUGUAUACUUAUUUAUUACAAAUAUUCAUACAACAUUUACUUAACUAAUAUCACAAUCACACCUCAUGAAAACACCAAACAGUAUCAGUAAUGAAACCAGACUCAACAGUUUCAGAUGCAUAAAUCUCGCCGCAUGCACCACAAUGUCCCUCGUCUUCAUCUUCUACCAAUCUCUCCUCCUCCUCGUCCUCAUCCUCGUCCUUUGCUUGCUUCGUAUACUUCCUUGACUCAGAUCCUCGCUAUUUUGGUCCAAUAACAAAACAAUGAAGUGGAAAUAGUAUAUUAGGAAGGAAAUAAAUAAGUAAAUAAAAAUAUGGCAUACCAACUUUAUUAUGUAUUAUAAGAAAGAUGUUUCCUGCUUCUAUCCAUGUCACAUACAUGGAUCCAGAACAGUUAGAAGCUAGUGUCGAUGUUUUGUUCAAGUCAAAACAUGUAGUACAAUUACAACACUAAUAAACAAUUAGAAAAAACACGAGAUAAAAUAAAAUAUUCAAGGAAUAGUGGAGGUAAGCAGAUUUUUUUUACCCCUUUAGAACCGGACUUUGAUUUGUUGCUGGUGUGGUUUGAAACUGGUGAGUUUUCCUUUGACUGUUUCUUUGCAUUUCCAGUCAGAACCUCAUAUAUUGUUGGCAGAUCAUUAAUCAUAGUGAAUAGGCGUUUCCUGCACAAAGAAUCACAUUUUAUAACAGACAGGAUAUAGAUCACAAGUAAAAAUAACCCAAUAUACAUGCCUGAUGCUACAGAAAUAACUCCUCUAACGUGAGCAAAUAAAUAAGGGUGUAUCUACAGAUACAACCUUACAUGUUCACUUUAUAUAUUUGCUCAGUUUAGAUGAGCCAUUUCCGGAUGCCGCAGUCCAUCUUUUGCAUUGAAUGAACUACUUUUGUUUUACAUCUUGCUAAUUAUUUGACAUAUAUCAACACAUAAGUUCUGUAUUCCAUUCAAAUAGUUACUAACACUGUCUAGAAACCAAGAAACAAACCCAAAAAAUCGGCUAGGAAAUUUUUAAAAGCUAACCAUAUCUAAAAAUAUGAAACCCCAAUCUUGAUGGAAAUUUUAUAGCUAACAUCUCGUCAUGCAAACCCAUCCCAAAGGGUCAAACCCCCAGUUUUUCUAUAAAGAGAGGAGCUUGGAAGCUUAAAUGUAAAUUCUCGAUACAAGGUCAUUCCUUCCUGAUAGGUAUAUAUGACUAACAAGAAAGUUAUCAGUAAAGAUAACUACAAAUGAAAUGGUUCGGAAGUAAAAGACACUCUGAUCCACUGCAAUUAAAGUAAGAAAAAAAGAGAAAGGCAUAAGUAAAGUCCGUUGCUUAUGUGUUUCUCAUCUUUGCUUUUCCUUUUGCAUAGCAAAAAGAAAAUGCUCUAUCCUAAGAGUGCUAGACGGAUCAUGUUAGUCUCAUUCUCAUGACAGUUUGUGUUGAUUGAAAAUCUUUUCCCCAUAAAAUUUACUUAUAUAGGUAUCAUAACUUAUGCCUAGCAAAUUAACAAAAGACAAGUCUUCAGCUCCAAAAAUUGUUUGUCGUAUGAAAAUUUAAGCAAGGAAUUCCUACAUAUUUUAUUACAUUAUAAUCACAGUUGUAAUGUUUUCAAAUUAACUAAAGCUCUAUGGAAAACACUACACAAGCAAACUAAAUGAAAUCAACAUUGCCACAUCAGAAACAUGAGCUCCAAAGUAAAAGAAAAUGGCAUGCAUCCAAAACAUGUUCUCAUCCAACUCAGAAAAUGAUUGCUUGGAGAAGAACAUAACAAAUGAUUGGAGCAAAGAAUUAUACCGGUCAGCACUAUCAAAACCAAAUCUUGCCCCAAAGUAGAAAGCCACUGAAAGUAGCCAUGCAUCACUGUGAACAGCAACCAAAGAAAGCCAGUCCUUUUGUUGCAUCCCAUCCCUAGCGAAGUUUAUGCCCAAUGCAGGCUCGGGAAGUUCGGGAGGAACUUCUUCAGCAGGUAAAUUAACUUCCCAUUUUUCAGUGGGGAACCCAUACAGACAAAGAUUCUC